AAAUGUCAGAUCACACAUUCAUGCAAUCAUCUUUCUCAUUCCAGAUUCUCUCUCCUCCAAGUCGAUAAACCUCUCUCCUCCAUUGAAGCUAGUGUUAUGAAUUCUCCAUUAGAGCAGAUUUUGAGCUUUCUCUUCUCCAUUAAAGCGACUUUCAAGCUUUCUUUACUCCAUUGAAGCAUCUUUUGAGUGUGCUUCAAGUAGAAAGCAGCUAAGACUAAGGGGUACCUACUACCUAAGCUAGUUAUGCCAAAAUAAGGCUGUAUUUAAGCAAAAAGCCCCUGAUUAUGUCUUAGUUGCAGUUGGUUUUGUACAAAUCAUGGCAGACUACCUAAGUUAAGCUAAGAAUGUCUAGCAUCCUCCACCUUCCCACAUUACAAUCAACAAUUCAAGCUGGUCUCCUUCCCUCUUGGCUGAGUAUAGAAUGAGAACGGGCAGGUUCUGCCUGCAAGAGUCAGGUGAGGCCAAUAAAAGUGUUGAGCUAGUAAAAGUAAAUCAUUUAAAUUUUAAAGUAAAUUGAAAGACUGAAUUUAUGAUUUAUAAUUAAUAAGCUAUUAAAAUCAAAGUGGAAUCCGACCAUAUGUACAUCUGAAGCAUGCCGAAGAUACGUAGUUCACUUUAAAUCGUUCACUUGGAAGCAGAGUAAUUCUACUAUCUAGGCCAUUUGGUAUAUGAUCCUUCUGUUUCUUACAGUAAUUUUAUAUUUUGCAACAUUUUCUUAUGAUAAAUGUUAGGUUUUUUUUAUCUUCUUCUCUUGAAGAACUUUACCAGCAAUUGCUUCCUGCUGUUGGAUGUUGCUGACUUCUCCAUGAAGGUUUUUAUAAACUUAUAGCCAUCAAAUGAUUUGGCUAUGGUAGGCCAGCCACUCACUAGCAAUCUUAUCCCCAAUAUAUACAUAUGAUUAUGGAUUGAGGAGGCUCCUCCUCGUGUAAUGGAUGUUGUUAUGCUAGAUUCUACUAGCAUUCCUUUAUAAAAUCUGUUGCUGCUUUUUGUCAACAACAAAAAAAUGUUCUCAUUGCGAGAAAUACAUAUGUUGUCUCUAAAAGUAAAUAAAAAAGAAUAUAAAGUAAAUAAAAAGGACUUUAAAGUAAACCUAUUAGCUCAAGUGGUAGAGCACUAUGCGAAUGCAUAGAGGUGUAGGUUCGAUUCCUACAUAGGUUCUCUGAAAAUACAUAUUAAAACACUCUAAAGUUAUUCAAAUUAGCUCAAAAGUAAAUCAAAAUAACUAAAAAGUAAAUCACAUUAGC